GACGAACGCUGGCGGCGUGCUUAACACAUGCAAGUCGAGCGGUAAGGCCCUUUCGGGGGUACACGAGCGGCGAACGGGUGAGUAACACGUGGGUGACCUGCCCUCAGCUCUGGGAUAAGCCUGGGAAACUGGGUCUAAUACUGGAUAUGACUCCACGGUGCAUGUCGUGGGGUGGAAAGCCUUGUGCGGCUGAGGAUGGGCCCGCGGCCUAUCAGCUUGUGC
rnacentral:rRNA from 1 species